rnacentral:lncRNA from 1 species
GUAGGUGGAUGCGGCCUCGAUUAGCGGGGGAACCACAUGAAAAAAAGCGAGCUACUGGGUGUACCUCCUGGGUAGUUUGGAAAUCACCUAAGAUAUAUAUGUAUAUAUUUAUAAAUAAAAGUUAAUAUAUAUAAAUUAACAUUAAUUUUUUUUAACAGGAAAUGCACAAUGCUAAAAACUGCGUAGGAGAUUUUAAUACAAUAGUACUACCAAGCCUGAUGUUGGCCGCUAUUUCAAUGAAUGCAGCAGUGUCACAGCUAGCAAUCAAAAGUAACAAGAUAUUGAGGAAAUGCAGAUGGCAAUAAACUGUGUAGGAGUUCAUGAUUGCAAUAGAAUAAAAUCGACCAAGCCUGAAGUCAGCAGCCCCUUCAAUGAAUGCAGCAGUGUGACAGCCAGCAAUCAAAAGUUACAAGAUAUCGAGGAAAUGCAGAAGGCAAAAAACUGCGUAGGAGAUCAUUAAUACAAAAGUAUUAUAUAAACCAAACCUGAUGUUGCCAGCUCCUUCAAUGAAUGCAGCAGUGUGACAGCCAGCAAUCAAAAGUAACAAGAUAUCGAGGAAAUGCAGAAGGCAAAAAACUGCAUAGGAGAUCAUUAAUACAAUAGUAUUAUAUAAACCAAGCCUGAUGUUGGCCGCUCAUUCAAAGAAUGCAGCAGUGUGACAGCCAGCAAUCAAAAGUAACAAGAUGUCGAGGAAAUGCAGAGUGCAAUAAACUUUGUAGGAGAUUAUGAUUGCAAUAGAAUAAAAUCGACCAAGCCUGAAGUUCUUCAAUGCACGCAGCAGUGUGACAGCCAGCAAUCAAAAGUUACAAGAUAUCGAGGAAAUGCAGAAGGCAAAAAACUGCGUAGGAGAUUAUUAAUACAAUAGUAUUAUAUCAACCAAGCCUGAUGUCGGUAGCUUCUUCAAUGAAUGCAGCAGUGUGACAGCCAGCAAUCAAUAGUGAUAGUGACAAGAAUCUAGGAAAUACAGAAGGCAAAGAAGCAGAUGUCAUCAAAGAAGAUCUUUGUUCCUGCAAUGUUUCCGCAGACGAUACAUCCAACAGAGCGAAGUGGAAGGAAAAGACUCGGAAAAAAGACCCCACCACCAUAUGGGAACAAUGCAAGGGAGAGAGAGAGAAUAUAAUUUUAUAUUUUUAUUUUUUGAUAACAUAAAAUAAACCAACAAUAUCCUACACAUUUUUUUUAUUUCUUUUUGUGUCUGUCUUAAUAGUUAUUACAAAUCUGUGAUGCGAAACAAACUAUACGAAAACGUCAAUCCACGUACAACGCCCGCGAAGCUGCUUU